rnacentral:misc_RNA from 1 species
GAUGAAGAACGCAGCGAAAUGCGAUACUUGGUGUGAAUUGCAGAAUCCCGUGAACCAUCGAGUCUUUGAACGCAAGUUGCGCCUCAAGCCAUUAGGUUGAGGGCACGUCUGCCUGGGCGUCACAUAUCGUUGCCUGAUGCCAGUUUCCUCGUGAUGGGUGACUGUGCAGGGCGAAUGAUGGCUUCCCGUGAGCAUUGUUGCCUCAUGGUUGGUUGAAAAUUGAGUCCUUGGUAGGGAGCGCCGUGAUAGAUGGUGGUUGAGUGACGAACGAGACCCGAUCAUGUGAGACCCCUACCGAAUUUGGCCUUCAUGACCCACAUGCGUCUUUGGAACGCUCAUGACGAGACCUCAGGUCAGGCGGGGCUACCCGCUGAGUUUAAGCAUAUCAAUAAGCGGAGGA